GAGAGAGAUGUAUUUGACAAUAGUUGGUUAGAUUCUUUGCCGGAAUUGAAACCAGUACCCUUAGCUCCGCAUUGUUAGAGAAUGCCUGGAAUAGUGUACUUCGUACCGCUUCCAAGGACAAAUAGCAUGUGUUGCAAGGUGUAAGAUGGAUGUCAUGAAAAAAGUUACUGCCCAGACAUGGAGGGAAGAAAGAGAAAAACAACAUACAUUAAAUAUUAUAAGAAAAAGUAACAGUAUAAGUUUUGCGAUAAAAGGAGGCAUCUAACGGAAUAUUUCAUAUGCAUGUAAUAAAUAUUCAGAUGCUAGUUGUAAGCCAAGCCUUGUUAGAUAAGGAUAAUAAAUUACGAUAAUCCGGUGACGUCGUAGACACUUGUGAAAUCCUCUAUAUUCGUAUAUGACUACUAAUAACCAUCAAACCGCUCGAUUAUCGAUGAAUAAAUAACACUACCAGAAACGGUAUUAGCAUCUUGUGAAUAAUAAAAUAAAAGCUAAAUAAAUCAAAGAAAUACAUGUUCUUAAAGAAGUCUUUAUAGAUCAAUGGAACUAGAUGUAUAUUUUGUCUCUAAGUCAGUUACAGCUUCAGAAAUUCUUCGGUGUUGCUACAAUUUCUAGAUUUAUGACGAGAGAAAUAACUAAAGAACAAGGACAUGUAACAAAAAGAUUUUACCUUAAUUAACUUAAUUAUUUUGAGAUAAAAUUUCCUGGGAUUGAUUUUAAUUGUAAGGCCUUAAUUUUCGGACCUCGAGUAAUACAUCAACAGAACCGAAUUAAUUACGCUACAGAUAAUAAUUAAUUCCUUCAAUAAAGAAAUUCUAAUUGUAAAAUUUUGGCACAAGGCCAGAAAUUUUAUGGGAGGGAGGUGUAAGCCGAUUACAUCGACCCCAGUA